rnacentral:rRNA from 1 species
AGAGUUUGAUCCUGGCUCAGAUUGAACGCUGGCGGCAGGCCUAACACAUGCAAGUCGAGCGGAUGAGUGGAGCUUGCUCCAUGAUUCAGCGGCGGACGGGUGAGUAAUGCCUAGGAAUCUGCCUGGUAGUGGGGGACAACGUUUCGAAAGGAACGCUAAUACCGCAUGCGUCCUACGGGAGAAAGUGGGGGAUCUUCGGACCUCACGCUAUCAGAUGAGCCUAGGUCGGAUUAGCUAGUUGGUGAGGUAAAGGCUCACCAAGGCGACGAUCCGUAACUGGUCUGAGAGGAUGAUCAGUCACACUGGAACUGAGACACGGUCCAGACUCCUACGGGAGGCAGCAGUGGGGAAUAUUGGACAAUGGGCGAAAGCCUGAUCCAGCCAUGCCGCGUGUGUGAAGAAGGUCUUCGGAUUGUAAAGCACUUUAAGUUGGGAGGAAGGGCAGUAAGUUAAUACCUUGCUGUUUUGACGUUACCAACAGAAUAAGCACCGGCUAACUUCGUGCCAGCAGCCGCGGUAAUACGAAGGGUGCAAGCGUUAAUCGGAAUUACUGGGCGUAAAGCGCGCGUAGGUGGUUCGUUAAGUUGGAUGUGAAAGCCCCGGGCUCAACCUGGGAACUGCAUCCAAAACUGGCGAGCUAGAGUAUGGCAGAGGGUGGUGGAAUUUCCUGUGUAGCGGUGAAAUGCGUAGAUAUAGGAAGGAACACCAGUGGCGAAGGCGACCACCUGGGCUAAUACUGACACUGAGGUGCGAAAGCGUGGGGAGCAAA